GGCUAUAUGACGUUGAAACACUGGUUCUUGUAUGAUCACCAAAGUUAAACAAUGUCAAGCCUCAUCAGUACCAAGAUGGAUGACUGCUUGGGAAUACCAGGUGCUUCA